AUUGAACGCUGGCGGCAUGCCUUACACAUGCAAGUCGAACGGCAGCACGGGAGCAAUCCUGGUGGCGAGUGGCGAACGGGUGAGUAAUAUAUCGGAACGUGCCCAGUCGUGGGGAUAACGUAGCGAAAGUUACGCUAAUACCGCAUACGAUCUAAGGAUGAAAGCGGGGGAUCGCAAGACCUCGCGCGAUUGGAGCGGCCGAUAUCAGAUUAGGUAGUUGGUGGGGUAAAGGCUCACCAAGCCAACGAUCUGUAGCUGGUCUGAGAGGACGACCAGCCACACUGGGACUGAGACACGGCCCAGACUCCUACGGGAGGCAGCAGUGGGGAAUUUUGGACAAUGGGCGCAAGCCUGAUCCAGCAAUGCCGCGUGCAGGAUGAAGGCC
rnacentral:rRNA from 1 species